rnacentral:rRNA from 1 species
GAUGAACGCUGGCGGCGUGCCUAAUACAUGCAAGUCGAGCGAACAGACGAGGAGCUUGCUCCUCUGACGUUAGCGGCGGACGGGUGAGUAACACGUGGGUAACCUACCUAUAAGACUGGGAUAACUUCGGGAAACCGGAGCUAAUACCGGAUAAUAUAUUGAACCGCAUGGUUCAAUAGUGAAAGACGGUUUUGCUGUCACUUAUAGAUGGAUCCGCGCCGGAUUAGCUAGUUGGUAAGGUAACGGCUUACCAAGGCAACGAUGCGUAGCCGACCUGAGAGGGCGAUCGGCCACACUGGAACUGAGACACGGUCCAGACUCCUACGGGAGGCAGCAGUAGGGAAUCUUCCGCAAUGGGCGAAAGCCUGACGGAGCAACGCCGCGUGAGUGAUGAAGGUCUUCGGAUCGUAAACCUCUGUUAUUAGGAAAGAACAAAUGUGUAAGUAACUAUGCACGUCUUGACGGUACCUAAUCAGAAAGCCACGGCUAACUACGUG